AGUGAACGCUGGCGGUAGGCCUAACACAUGCAAGUCGAACGGCAGCACAGUAAGAGCUUGCUCUUACGGGUGGCGAGUGGCGGACGGGUGAGAAAUACAUCGGAAUCUACUUUUUCUUGGGGGAUAACGUAGGGAAACUUACGCUAAUACCGCAUACGACCUACGGGUGAAAUCAUGGGAUCUUCGGACCUUGCCCGAUUGAAUGAGCCGAUGUCGGAUUAGCUAGUUGGCGGGGUAAAGGACCACCAAGGCGACGAUCCGUAGCUGGUCUGAGAGGAUGAUCAGCCACACUGGAACUGAGACACGGUCCAGACUCCUACGGGAGGCAGCAGUGGGGAAUAUGGGACAAUGGGCGAAAGCCUGAUCCAGCCAUACCGCGUGGGUGAAGAAGGCCUUCGGGUUGUAAAGCCCUUUUGUUGGGAAAGAAAAGCAGCAGGUUAAUACCCCGCUGUUCUGACGGUACCCAAAGAAGAAGCACCGGCUAACCUCGU
rnacentral:rRNA from 1 species